GCUGGAAUGGUCUAGUUGGUUAUGACGACUGCCUAACACGCAGUAGGUCCCGUGUUCGAUUCUCGGUUCCAGUA
rnacentral:tRNA from 1 species